AAUGCCGUAACAAAUAAUCGACCUUUCUUUCUAUCGGAUCGCUAACUAUUAAUCUCAAAAGUUUUGGUAGCUAGAAACACGCAAUCAAUUCACUUAAACCGCGCAGACACAGCAUUCGCAUAUCUCAAUUAUGACUCGAUUCAGCUUGGUCGCACGCCACAGAACAGGAUGCUGGUCCUUUUAUGGCAGCAUCUUUGACUAUUACAGUAGUGGUAGUCUCUUGUGAACGAUUUUAAGUAACUUACUCGAUUUUUUUGAAUCUUCAUUUGUUUUUCAUUCAAUUAUGUUGUUUUGGGUCCAUCGCUUCAGUUGUUGCGUUAGGUGCGAGUCGUUAGAUUUUAUUCUAUUAUUGUUGCCUUCACAGUCACAUAAAUAAAUAAAAUAAAAUAAAACUUAAUACUUGAAUUUGAAAGGUUAAAAUUGACUAGAGUCAUUUAGUCCACUUAAUGAAUAAGUUGAUUUGAAAAGACACAUUGAAUGUGGAAUUAUCAUCAUGAAUGAGGUGAUAUGAAAAGACACAUUCAAUGUGUAAAUUAUCA
rnacentral:lncRNA from 1 species